CCGGAUUAGCUGAGAGGUGGUGCAUUGGCCGUCGUCAGUUCGUACUGUGAAGCAUCCUGUUAAGUCAGGCAACGAGCGAGACCCACGCCCACAGUUGCCAGCGUACUCUCUGGAGUGACGGGUACACUGUGGGGACCGCCGCUGCUAAAGCGGAGGAAGGAAUGGGCAACGGUAGGUCAGUAUGCCCCGAAUAUCCCGGGCUACACGCGAGCUACAAUGGUUGGUACAAUGGGUAUCUACCCCGAAAGGGGACGGGAAUCUCCUAAAACCAAUCUUAGUUCGGAUUGAGGGCUGCAACUCGCCCUCAUGAAGCUGGAAUCCGUAGUAAUCGCGUUUCAACAGAACGCGGUGAAUACGUCCCUGCUCCUU
rnacentral:rRNA from 1 species